AAUACUGAACAACACAAACCUCAGAACUACAAAUCUCCAAAGCAGCUUCAAGUCAGAGAAAACAAAACCUUGACAACAACAGAAUCCAGCACUGCUUCAAGUUUCUUGUACCAAAAGACAAUCUUAAAAGCAAAACUGCUCACCAGGGACCUCAUUGGAGACCAGCUGAAUUCAGUAGGAGCUGCAGGUUUCCAGCACCUCCACAAAACAAAUGAACAAAACCCCUCAAGGAGUCCAGCUCGUGACAUGGACAGCUGAAGGAUUGGUGCACACAGGGACAAUAUUUCCUGCUCAGGCCUGUUUGAGUAACAACCUCAAUGGCACUGCCAGCAGCACUACAGCAAUAACUCAAAAGAGAUCUCCUGGAGAUUUGGUGUUUUCUAAUCUGAGUAGAGAAAUUAUUUUGCAUGAAUCAUAGAAGGCACCGAUAAUUGUCACAAGGCUCAUGACAAGUUUUGCAGAAGUUUCUUUGUUGCUUGUGGUGGACUCAGAUGAGAGACAGUCCACAAAACAAAACCUUGUAAAGGAAACCAUGAGCAUUACUACUCCAAGGCCAAAAUUUCACAAAAAGCUCUGUGGAGCUGUACCCUGACCACAGCACAUGCUGAGAGCAAGCUGAAAACACGAGCACAGGCUUCAGAAAUCCUCACUCACAGCUGGCCAAAGUCCCUGAAGCUCUGGGUCUCCAGUCCUAGCAGGUACCUCAUGUCCUUCCCUUUGCUG